UACGGGGGGAGCAAGCGUUGUUCGGAUUUACUGGGCGUAAAGGGCGCGUAGGCGGCCACCGCAAGUCAAUUGUGAAAUCUCCGGGCUUAACUCGGAAAGGUCAACUGAUACUGCGGGGCUAGAGUGCGGAAGGGGCAACUGGAAUUCUCGGUGUAGCGGUGAAAUGCUUAGAUAUCGUCAAGAACACCGAUAGUGAAGACAGCUUACUAGACUUCAACUGACGCUGAGGCACGAAAGUGUGGGGAUCAAACAGG
rnacentral:rRNA from 1 species